UACGGAGGAUGCAAGCGUUAUCCGGAUUCAUUGGGUUUAAAGGGUGCGCAGGCGGAAUGAUAAGUCAGUGGUGAAAUCCUACGGCUCAACCGUAGAACUGCCAUUGAUACUGUCGUUCUUGAGUACACUUGAAGUGGGCGGAAUGUGUCAUGUAGCGGUGAAAUGCUUAGAUAUGACAAGGAACACCGAUCGCGAAGGCAGCUCACUAAAGUGUUACUGACGCUCAGGCACGAAAGCGUGGGGAUCAAACAGG
rnacentral:rRNA from 1 species